AGUGUGUCCCACCUGGUUGAGGUGGUUCCUCAGAAGCUGUCCUGGGUCAUUUGAUGUGUCCCGAGCAAACAGAAGCACAGAGAAAAAUGGAAAACACCCCAGUUCCUUCAAUGGCUCCCAGAAUGUGAAGAAGCAUCCUGGCCACAUUUCCAUCUGCUGAGGAUACUUUAUCAGGCACCGAGCUUGAGAUGGCCUCUGACCAGCCCAGUUCAAGGUGGGGCUGUCACUGCCUAAUUCUUAGAAUCAUUCCUUUUAAAACGCAGCCAGGAAACACCAAUUAUUUUUGGUCAUUUAACUAUGUGAAAUCACCCCAGCCGCACAAAACUGAAUAAACGCACAUGCUGACAUCAUACUGCAGACGACGCUAGAAGGUAGCAUGGACAGAAAGGGAAAGUUUUCUCACAAAAAUUGUUUGAAACAUUUUGAACUCAAACCUGCAGCAGCAGCGUACCAGCAUGAGCUCCGGGUCCUGCAGCCAGGGCGGCAGCCCCACAGCCUGGCUCAUGGCCUGGAACAGCGUGGCCCUCAGUGCACAGUAAUUAUCACCACGGACUCGCCGUAUGGAGGUGAACUUCUGAGAAACCUCUUCAUAGCCCUGGGAAAAGAAUUUAGGAAUAAGAAUGUAUAGAAUUUCAUCACUAUUGCAUCAUUCCUAUAGACCUUGGCAGCCAGAAUCCAUCUUAAAAUAGUGGUCUUCAAACUGAGGCACCUGUAUCUCCUGAGGUGCAGCAACACCAAUUUUAUACAGCUGUGCAGCAAAGGCCCUGGAGUAGAAGAUACUCUUUACAGAGGCCCAGGAGAAAAUAUGAACAAAAAUUGGUGAAGGCCAUCACCAGACCUAGCAGUUGCAUCCUGUUCAGCACCACAGACAGCUCCCUCGCAAAUGCCAUCCUUUCAAAAGAUGAAGUCUCACUCCAUUGCCAGGCUGGAGUGCAGUGGCGCGAUCUUGGCUCUCGGCUCACUGCAACCUCCACCUCCCAAGUUCAACUGAUUCUCCUGCUUCAGCCUCCCAAGUAGCUGGGACUACAGGUUAUGGGUCACAUUUUCCUGCUUCUUGGCAUGUCUAGUAAUUUUUUAUUGGCUGGUGGACAUUGAGUUGUACUUCUCCACUGAGGCUCUUUUAAGCCCAGAGGAAAUACUCAGAUUAGAAGAGGUAUGAUGAAAAGAUAGCAUGAAAAGGAAAAGGAAUCCAGAUACCAGAAUUCUUGCCCCCCGCCCACAACACAACAUGAUGGGUUGACUGAGGUCACAGAGCUACAGGCUGCCAAUCCUGGUGAAAAAAUUUUUCCUUUCAGUCCUGGAUUGAUGUGGAAAUAAUUACACUGGUAAGGAGAUCCAAGGCCUGCCAUCAUGUGAAGUGGCCACGCCCCUUAUGGACAAAGUCAAGCCACCAACUCCCAAAUGUAUCAGUGCAGCUGCUUCAGAGGAAAUCACUGAAAAAUAAAGAAAAACCAUCCAUGCAUGGCUGCAUCCAGUGUACCUGUAAUCCUGAAGAAAAGGUCCUAAUUCCUUCCAUGCUGAAAUGCUAGCUUUGGUUUCAGAGAGAGACUUUAUUGCAACUGUGACCACCGUCACUGGUGAGCACUGCUGUUCGGCCCCCAGCGGACUUAAAAGACUGGAAUGUGGUAGUGGCGGUCGUUCUCGGUCAGCAGGGAGAUCUCCGGCCAGUCCCUGAGAGGCUCCUCUGGGUAGCAGACUUCAAAGUCUCUGGAGUUAAACUUGAACAGUCUGAACACUUUUAUCUUUACUUCAAGGGAGUAUCCAAGUAUAAACAUAUCAAUCUGUGGAUGAGAUGAAAGACAGGUCACAGAUCCACACUUGCAAAUUCCUGCCUCCCGCCACGGUGGGGGGAAGUGUUCCUCUGCAGUUUAUGAAAUAAUCUGCUUGUUGACAGACCCACCCAUACACCACUGAGUGGGCACAGAGUUCAGAACAAAUGCUCAUUGUGUGGAAGGAAGGGGACGAGCAUAGGAACAACUCUGUAGACUAGCAUGUAAAAAUCACAGGAAAAAGCUACUUGAAAAAAAUUAGUGAAAAAAGAAAAGAACACUCAUGAUAAAAACUACAUUAUUUUCCAAUCAGUUUUAUAUCAUUCAAUCAGUUUUAUAUCAUUUUAUAUCCAUUUGUUUAAAAAUGUCAGAUAAUUUUGUUCGCCCUCUAGGAAAGCAAAACAAAAAAGAAACUCUUUUCUAGAGGGAUAAAAGCAUUUUCAUUUUCUGGCUUUAGAAAGUUUCAAUUAAUUUCUAUCUAUCUGCAAUAGGUAACCAAAUGCUUUCCCAAAAUUAUCUCAUUUUCCACCUGGACUUUUUCCUGGUGAACAUCUACGUGAGAGAACCUGUUGGCAUCUGGGAAGCAGCGUGAGAGGUCAGAAAGGCCCCCAGAAUUGGUGCUCUCUGGCUAGAGGUCUGAGGAGACACAAAGCAGCCAGCACAGAAUAAUGCAUUUAUUAGUCUUCUUUUCCUCAUUUGAGGGGCGAUAAUAUCAAUCAACCACCUCUGUGCAAUUGCUUACAUCACCACUGAAAAGUCAACCCCAGACACCUCUGUGUUCAAAUAGUGCCAUAGCAUCCUUGAUCAAAUACAAGCAGUUCUUCCUCCCCGGUUACCUGCUCUAGUCCACAUGUGUCGCCUACAGAAUUCAGGUGAUUCAUCAUGAAGCUCAAAGGAUCAGUGGAUGUCUCCCUGGAAAACAGGAGUCUAAAAAGACUGGGAAUGACCUUUUUAGUCUUCAUUUGUUCAUAAACUUCAGUGACUUGAUACAGCAUGAUGAACUUUAAAGCUUCAUAAAGUUUAUAUUCCAGAAUGGCAUCUGAAAAAAGCGUGUUGCACAUACUUCCUCUCUUGUGAUAAUCUCUAAUUCCAUUAAAUUCAGUCCACUAAAAACAGAUGUAAAAGUGAAAUUCAGAAGGAUAAAGGUGAAGACAUAUACCAUUCCAUAAUUUUUAAUGUGUUUAU